GACGAACGCUGGCGGCGUGCCUAAUACAUGCAAGUCGAACGCAGUGGGGACGGUUGAGUAACACGUGGGUAAACUCCCAUAAGAGGGGAUAACACUUGGAAACAGGUGCUAAACCGAUACUGAUUGAUGGACCCGCGGUGUAUUAGCUAGUUGGGGGGGGAACGGCUCACCAAGGCCACGAUGCAUAGCCGACAUGAGAGGGUGAUCGGCCACACUGGAACUGAGACACGGCCCAGACGCCUACGGGAGGCAGCAGUAGGGAAUCUUGGGCAAUGGGCGAAAGUCUGACGGAGCAAUGCCGCGUGAGUGAAGAAGGUUUUCGGAUCGUAAAACUCUGUUAUUAGAGAAGCGGUAUCUAACCAGAAAGCCACGGCUAACUACGUGCCAGCAGCCGCGGUAAUAC
rnacentral:rRNA from 1 species